rnacentral:rRNA from 1 species
AUGAUGUGGAUUAAUUCGAUGCAACGCGAAAACCUUACCUACCCUUGACAUGUCCGGAAUCCGAAGAGAUUUGGGAGUGCUCGCAAGAGAGCCGGAACACAGGUGCUGCAUGGCUGUCGUCAGCUCGUGUCGUGAGAUGUUGGGUUAAGUCCCGCAACGAGCGCAACCCUUGUCAUUAGUUGCCAUCAUUUGGUUGGGCACUCUAAUGAGACUGCCGGUGACAAACCGGAGGAAGGUGGGGAUGACGUCAAGUCCUCAUGGCCCUUAUGGGUAGGGCUUCACACGUCAUACAAUGGUCGGUACAGAGGGUUGCCAACCCGCGAGGGGGAGCUAAUCCCACAAAGCCGAUCGUAGUCCGGAUCGCAGUCUGCAACUCGACUGCGUGAAGUCGGAAUCGCUAGUAAUCGUGGAUCAGCAUGUCACGGUGAAUACGUUCCCGGGUCUU